rnacentral:rRNA from 1 species
AUACGGAGGGUGCAAGCGUUACUCGGAAUCACUGGGCGUAAAGCGCGCGCAGGCGGGCUGAUAAGUUUGAUGUGAAAGCCUACGGCUCAACCGUAGAACUGCAUCCAAAACUGUCAGUCUAGAGUCUGGGAGGGGAAGAUGGAAUUAGUUGUGUAGGGGUAAAAUCCGUAGAGAUAACUAGGAAUACCAAAAGCGAAGGCGAUCUUCUGGAACAGUACUGACGCUGAGGCGCGAAAGCGUGGGGAGCAAACAGGAUUAGAUACCCUAGUAGUCC